UACGUAGGGUGCAAGCGUUGUCCGGAAUUAUUGGGCGUAAAGAGCUCGUAGGCGGUUUGUCGCGUCUGCUGUGAAAACCCGAGGCUCAACCUCGGGCCUGCAGUGGGUACGGGCAGACUAGAGUGCGGUAGGGGAGAUUGGAAUUCCCGGUGUAGCGGUGAAAUGCGCAGAUAUCAGGAGGAACACCGGUGGCGAAGGCGGUUCUCUGGGCCUGUACUGACGCUGAGGAGCGAAAGCGUGGGGAGCAAACAGG
rnacentral:rRNA from 1 species